rnacentral:rRNA from 1 species
ACGGGUGAGUAAUGCGUAGGAAUACACCCUAAAGAGUGGGAUAGCUUAGGGAAACUUAAGGUAAUACCGCAUAAUUUCUGAGGAAAAAAGCUGGGGACCCGCAAGGGCCUGGCGCUUUAGGUCUAGCUUACGUCCGAUUAGCUAGUUGGUGAGGUAAAGGCUCACCAAGGCGAUGAUCGGUAGCUGGUCUGAGAGGACGAACAGCCACACUGGGACUGAGACACGGCCCAGACUCCUACGGGAGGCAGCAGUGGGGAAUAUUGGACAAUGGGGGAAACCCUGAUCCAGCAAUGCCGCGUGUGUGAAGAAGGCCUGAGGGUUGUAAAGCACUUUUGUUGUGGAAGAGAGUUUAUAGGUUAAGAGCUAGUGAACUGGACGGUACAUAACGAAUAAGCACCGGCUAACUCCGUGCCAGCAGCCGCGGUAAUACGGGGGGUGCAAGCGUUAAUCGGAAUUAUUGGGCGUAAAGGGUGCGUAGGUGGUUUAAUAAGUUAGCUGUGAAAUACCUGAGCUCAACUUGGGGGUGUCAGCUAAUACUAUUAGACUAGAGUAUGGGAGAGGGCAGA